UUAAUCAUUCCUCUUUGAAGAAACUGUCUUAGCUCAAACUGAUUGUAAAAACAGUUUACUCUUUUCAAUUUUAUCAUAUAUCCAUCAAAUAUAACAUUUAAACUUAGUGUUUUUUGAAUUUCAAGAAGUCCUAAGCCCGAAGGUCUGUACAUUCUCCAGAGCGAGGUCCAAGUUGUUCAGUUAGUUCUUCCUUUCUUUACUUUCCUUGCACCUAGUAAAACUUAUGAGUUAUUUUGUUUACAAUUUUAUUUUCCAUCUUAAUAAGCUCUUUUCAACCACUGACUACAUUUUAGAGAUUAGUGCUUUUCAAUAAACAGAGAAACUGAAGGACAUAAUGAGAUCAAGGGCUGAAACACGUGGUUGAUGGGUUUAGUGUAGCUAAACCAAAACGCUUAAAUCUAGUCGGGCUUUUAAAAACCAUCGCUUCUCUUAUAAAAUCUCGAAAGAAUUAAUGACAUAAUCAAGAAGCAAAACUAACAAGUCUCGUACACAAUAGAAUGUUUUUUUUUUACACAAUAUGUUGUACCUCAAAGUCUAGGCAUAAUAGCUUUGCACGUCUCCUCGAAGUGAUCCUUGAGUAACACUUUAAGACAAAGAGGAUAUUUUGCAGAAGACACAAAUUGUUUUAAGAAAAUUUAAACGGUUUCAAGUUUCAACUGAAGCAAAUAAGAUAAAAUGGCUCAUUGAGUCUUACUAGGUCUGUACCAGCUUUGUCAGCCAAAGAGCCUCCGAAAAUAUCCUUUGUAUGAUCUCCCCCCAUUGUCACAUGCUGUUUUAGAAUUAUCGUGAAGGACUGGAAAAUGAUUUGAGACAACAGAGUAGAAAGGAAGAUACAGUACUUGAAUCAAGAAGUUCAAACGAACCUGUAUCACCUUAUCUUGAAAAAAUCUAUAGAUUUGGGAGGGAUUAGUGGCUCAUUAAUUAUUAAUUACAACCAUCACUAUUCAAUCGAACCUGUAUCUCCUUAUUCGUUUGCGUGGACAUUUUUUUAUCAUCUCUUGAUUAUCAAUAUGAUUGAUUGAUUGAUAAAGACUAGUCUUCACAAAAAGAGGCCGAUGCACAUGGUCUAUGCGAUUCCAAAAUCAUCCUGCUCUCACUUUUGUCCGUUAUCUCACAAAUUGCGUAUAAGUACAAAUGUAUAGGAGAUUCGAUAUCUCCCCCAAGCUUCUAUCUAAUCUGUUAAAGUUUUGAAUAUUCAAAUCAGAUAACUUCAUAUGAAUGAGAACAGUAUUCAAUUUGGUUCCGAAUAUCCUACUUUUUGAAAUUCAAAAAUGCUUAAAAUAAGAUUCAUAAUGCAGUUACCCUAAAAUUUAUAGUUCAUAUAAUAGUCCCAAGAACUAUAUGAAUCGGCUCAUAUGUGUUAUUUAUUGUAAGUUUACAACCAUCCAACUAUAUCUGGAUUUCCCAUAAACUUACGAACUAUUUGUUUACCAUUGGAAUUACUGAUAACUCUUGUUAAAAUUAAAAUGCAUUUGUCCUAACAAUUUAAAAUAUCGAAACAGGCUCUAAUGUAAUAAUGUAGUGGACGCUUAUGUAAGUUACAACGUCAUCUCAAUCACAAAAGUUGCAUAAAUAUCCACAACAAAAGAAAAAUCAAAAUACCUCUCUCGUCUCCUUCUCCUCUUCCUAUCUUUCUACAAUCGUCAGCACAAAGUCUAGGACUUGAAGGUGAUUAAUCUUACCGAACUCAGUCUUUAUAUCUAUAAUAUGUAGGUGUUUCAAAUAUAUAGUAGAAUAAACUCUUAAUUCUCUAAUAUUUUUAUGUGUUCGAAUGAAGUAAGGAAACUUCAAAACUAAUCUGGUGUUGCCAUACGGCAGAGUGGUGCUCUCUGGUGCUUUUAAGUAUUUUCGAUUCACUUAACAUGCUUAGUUUCUGUAUUUAUUCCACCUAACAUGCCAUUUAUAUUUCUGUGAAGAUUAUCAGCUGGCUAAAUGUAUAAACUAUGCCUUUUUGUGUAGGAAG
rnacentral:lncRNA from 1 species